AUCCGCUGAGGAAGGCUUUUACCCAGUCUAGAACGCUGGGGGAAUAAGGAGAGGGCAAGUCUGGUGUCAGCCGCCGCGGUAAUACCAGCUCUCCGAGUGGUGUGGAUGUUUAUUGGGCCUAAAGCAUCCGUAGCUGGCUAAGUUAGUCCCUUGUUAAAUCCACCGAAUUAAUCGUUGGAUUGCGGGGGAUACUGCUUGGCUAGGGGACGAGAGAGGCAGACGGUAUUUCCGGGGUAGGGGUGAAAUCCUAUAAUCCCGGGAAGACCACCAGUGGCGAAGGCUGUCUGCUAGAACGCGCCCGACGGUGAGGGAUGAAAGCUGGGGGAGCGAACCGGAUUAGAUACCCGGGUAGUCCCAGCUGUAAACGAUGCAGGCUAGGUGUUUGGACGGCCACGUGCCGUUCUAGUGCCGCAGGGAAGCUGUUAAGCCUGCCGCCUGGGGAGUACGAUCGCAAGAUUGAAACUUAAAGGAAUUGGCGGGGGAGCACCACAAGGGGUGAAGCUUGCGGUUUAAUUGGAGUCAACGCCGGAAAUCUCACCGGGAGCGACAGCAGUGUGAAGGCCAGAUUAAAGGUCUUGCCAG
rnacentral:rRNA from 1 species